AGUCUGAUUCCAGAGGAACAAAGAGACAAAUACCAACGUGGAUUCUGGCAGAGGGGAACAAUGCAGGUGCCCAGUGAGUAAAACUGGGGCACAAGAGGAAGGUUUAAUUACCGGAAAAAGAUAGCAGCUCUUGGCCUGUUACUGGGCCUUGGUGGAAACUGAACAUUGGCUAUGGGUCAUCAAGUCACCAUGUAAACCUGAACUGCCUGUCAUGAACUGGGUGCUUUCUGACCCAUCUAGCCAUAAAGUGGGUGGUGCACAGCAGCAUUCCAUCAACAAAUGGAAGUGGUAUAUACGUAAUCGGGCUCGAGCAGGUCCUGAAGGCACAAGUAAGUUACAUAAGGAAGUGGCUCAAAUGCUCAUGGUCUCCACUCCUGCCACCCUGCCUUCUCUCCCUCAGCGUGCACCAAUGGCCUCAUGGGGAAUUCCCUAUGAUCAGUUGACAGAGGAAGAGAAGACUAGGGCCUGGUUCACAGAUGGUUCUGCAUGAUAUGCAAGCACCACCUGAAAGGGGACAGCUGCAGCACUACAACCCCUUUCUAGGACAUCCCUGAAGGACAGCGGUGAAGGGAAAUCUUCCCAGUGGGCAGAAUUUUGAGCAGUGCACCUGACUGUGCACUUUGCAUGGAAGGAGAAAUGACCAGAUGUGUGAUUUAUAUACUGAUUCAUGGGCUGUAGCCAAUGGUUUGGCUGGAUGGUCAUGGACUUGGAAGAAACAUGAUUGGAAAGUUGGUGACAAAGAAAUUUGCGGAAGAGGUGUGGAUGGACUUAUCAAGUGGUCAAAAACUGUGAAGAUAUUUGUAUCCCAUGUAAGUGCCCACCAACGGGUGACCUCAGCAGAGGAGGAUUUUAAUAAUCAAGUGAAUUGAUGACUGUUCUGUGAACACCAUUCAGCCGCUUUCCCCAGCCACCCCUGUCAUCGCCCAAUGGGCCCAUGAACAAAGUGGCCAUGGUGGCAGGGAUGGAGGUUAAGCAUGGGCUCAGCAACAUGGACUUCCACUUACCAAGACUGAUCUGGCUACGCCCACUGCUGACUGCCCAAUUUGCCAGCAGCAGAGACCAACACUGAGCCCUCAAUAUGGCACCAUUCCUCGGGGUAAUCAGCCAGCUACCUGGUGGCAGGUUAAUUGUAUUGGACCUCUUCCAUCAUGGAAAGGGCAGAGGUUUGUCUUCACUGGAAUAGACACUUACCCCAGAUGUGGGUUUGCCUAUUCUGCACGCAAUGCUUCUGCCAAGACUACCUUCCAUGGACUCACAGAAUGCCUUAUCCACCAUCAUGGUGUUCCACACAGCAUUGCCUCUGACCAAGGCACUCACUUUAUGGCUAAAGAAGUACAGCAACGUGCUCAUGCUCGUGGAAUUUACCGGUCUUACCAUGUUCCCCGACAUCCUGAAGCAGCUGGAAUGAUAGAACGAUGGAAUGGCCUUUUGAAGUCACAAUUACAAUGCCAACUACAUGACAAUACUUUGCAGGGCUGGGGCAAAGUUCUUCAGAAGGUCGUGUAUGCCCUGAAUCAACGUCCAGUAUACUGUACUGCUUCUCCCAUAGCCAGGAUUCAUGGAUCCAGGAAUCAAGGGGUGGAAGUGGAAGUGGCACCACUCACCAUUACCUCAAGUGAUCCACUAGCAAAAUUUGUGCCUCCUGUUCCCACAACAUGACAUUCUGCUGGCCUAGAGGUCUUAGUUCCAGAGGGAGGAACGCUGCCACCAGGAGAUACAACAACGAUUCCAUUAAACUGGAAAGUUACAAGUGCCACCUGGACACUUUGGGAUCCUCCUGUCUUUAAGUCAACAGGCUAAGGGAGUUAGUGUUGGCUGGGGUGAUUGACCCCGAUUAUCAAGAUGAAAUCAGUCUACUACUCCACAGCAAAGGCAAGGAAGAGUAUGCAUGGAAUACAGGAGAUCCAUUAGGAUGUCUCUUAGUAUUACCACGCCCUGUGAUUAAGGUCAAUGGGAAACUACAACAGCCCAAGCCAGGUAGGGCUACAAAUGGCCUAGACCCUUCAGGAAUGAAGGUUUGGUUCACUCCACCAGGAAAAAAAAAAAAAAACACGACCUGCCGAGAUGCUUGCUGAAGGCAAAGGGAAUACAGAAUGAGUAGUAGAAGAAGGUAGUCAUCAAUACCAGCUAUGACCACGUGAUCAGCUGCAGGAACAAGGACUGUAAUUGUCAUGAGUAUUUCCUCCUUCUUUUGUUAAAAACAUGUUUGUGCAUGUAUACACUUAUACUAAUUUUAUUUCACUUUAUUUCCUAUUUUCUUUACCAUGUGACGUAAGAUUUGUUGACCUCAUAUCAGCAUUUAAGUAUUGUUAAUUUUAUGUAAUAAUAUUUGGGUUGAUGAUUGGUGUGUUUCUGGUUGUAUGAAGGAUAGUUGUAUUAUGUUAGGCAUAACUAUGACCUUAUUAUUGUCUUUAUUUGAAGACUAUGUAUGAUCUCAGGAGAUGUGUGUGGGUUCAAGUUGACAAGGGGUGGACUUGUGAUGGUUAAUACUGAGUGUCAACUUGAUUGGAUUGAAAGGAUACAAAGUAUUGAUCCUGGGUGUGUCUGUGAGGGUGUUGCCAAGGAGAUUAACAUUCGAGUCAGUGGGCUGGGAAAGGCAGACCCACCCUUAAUCUGGGUGGGCACCAUCUAAUCAGCUGCCAGCACGGCUAGAAUAUAAAGUAGGCAGAAAAAUAUGAAAAGACUAGACUAGCCUAGCCUCCCGGACUACAUCUUUCUCCCAUGCUGGAUGCUUCCUCCCCUCAAACAUUGGACUUCAAGUUCUUCAGUUUUCGUACUCAGACUGGCUCUCCUUGCUCCUCAGCUUGCAGAUGGCCUAUUGUGGGACCUUGUGGUCAUGUGAGUUAAUACUUAAUAACUCAUAUAUAUAUAUGAAGGGGAUUUAUUACUUCAGACAGGCAACAAGAGACAACAGAAAGAAGCCCAGGAUUCAUGGUGAGCUGGUUCCCCAGGGCUCAGGAAAGCUGCCCAGGUGGAUGGAGUCUUCCACAAGUGCUUCACUUGCACAGCAGCUGAAGGUCACCCAAAAAGUGACCUACCUGGGUUUUAUACCCCAGGGAACAUGAGUUGCUGGGAUAAAGCAUUGAAGGACAUCCUGUUUCUAGGGGGGAGCUGGAGAGAAUUCAGGCUGUUCCAGUCAGUCCCUCCCUAUCUUGGGAUGUUGCACUCCCAGCACAUUCUACAGUUAUUCUUGAGAACUGCAAGCAAGAAAGAGGGAGAGAACUGGGCCAGUCCAAGGCCACCCAGAGAACUGUCCCGCAGGAUGGUGAAAGGUCUGGAAACUCUGCCAGGGAGGAAGGGGUGCUGGUCUGGAAAAGUGCAUGUGGGCCUUUUGGAGAGCCUGGUUCAGAAGCAUGGCUACUGGUAUUGCUUGGCUGAAGCACUGCUCUAUGGGAAGUUCACCCUCUUUGAAUAAGUGAGCCACUUCAGAAGCACCCCAAUCUACAGAACUAGCCUGGAAAAGGAAAAGGGAGAGUAUGGGAAACAUAAGACCUAACUUCAAAUCUUAGAAAGCCUGUUUUAUAGAAGUGAGAUUCACUGUGAGAAGUUCCAGAGAUCAGGCCUCAUGGUUAGAAGCUACAGGAAGACUUUACAAACUUUGAGCAGGGCAAGCGCCCAAGAGCUAGGCUGCCUGUGAGGUCCUGGACAUGUUCAACCAUCUAGAUUGUCAAAGAAUCAAUUGCAGGACUGGAAGCAGGGGAAGCUGGAGGAGAUGCCAGCUAGGUCCUCGCCUGCUCUGUGACAAUGAUUCAAAUGCAUCCAGGUGGUAGACACCCCACCUGCCAGGAACAGCUGUCAGUCUUGGAACCACUCAGUCAACACUUAUUUUGAGUUGGAUUUUCUGAUUAUUCUAGAACUCAUUUGGAUCUUGCCAUGAACCAAAUCAGCCCUUUUCACAUUAGCUGCAGUCCCUGGAGUAUUAAAAAUGCUGCCAAGCCUUAGGUUUUACCACUUACGGAGUAAGCCUUGAGUUCUAAUAAAACGAUGCUUAAAGCAGAUACAUACAUCUUUUUUUCUAUAUUCUAAACUGUUCAUAGUUUGCCACC
rnacentral:lncRNA from 1 species